CUGGGAUAUAGCUCAGUGGUAGAGUACCUGCCUAGCAUGCAGAAGGCCUUGGGUUCAAUUCCUACCACUAGA
rnacentral:tRNA from 1 species